GGGGAAAAAUUUAUUGCUAUUAGAUGAGCCUAUAUUAGAUUAGCUAGUUGGUGGAGUAAUAGCCUACCAAGGCAAUGAUCUAUAGCUGAUCUGAGAGGAUGAUCAGCCACACUGGAACUGAGAUACGGUCCAGACUCCUACGGGAGGCAGCAGUGGGGAAUAUUGGACAAUGGGCGAAAGCCUGAUCCAGCCAUGCCGCAUGAGUGAAGAAGGCCUUUGGGUUGUAAAGCUCUUUUAGUGAGGAAGAUAAUGACGGUACUCACAGAAGAAGUCCUGGCUAACUCCGUGCCAGCAGCCGCGGUAAUACGGAGAGGGCUAGCGUUAUUCGGAAUUAUUGGGCGUAAAGGGCGCGUAGGCGGAUUAGUAAGUUAAAAGUGAAAUCCCAAGGCUCAACCUUGGAAUUGCUUUUAAAACUGCUAAUCUAGAGAUUGAAAGAGGAUAGAGGAAUUCCUAGUGUAGAGGUGAAAUUCGUAAAUAUUAGGAGGAACACCAGUGGCGAAGGCGUCUAUCUGGUUCAAAUCUGACGCUGAGGCGCGAAGGCGUGGGGAGCAAACAGGAUUAGAUACCCUGGUAGUCCACGCUGUAAACGAUGAAUGUUAAAUAUGGGAAGUUUUACUUUCUGUAUUACAGCUAACGCGUUAAACAUUCCGCCUGGGGACUACGGUCGCAAGAUUAAAACUCAAAGGAAUUGACG
rnacentral:rRNA from 1 species